rnacentral:rRNA from 1 species
AUGCCUGAGCAGGUGGUCCGGUCAACGUCCUGCUCUCCCCUCUUAUCCAGCUCUGUGCUUGUGCUGUGCGAGGGCCGCGGAGAUUGCACCUCGGAGCCAUCCAGCGUUUCUGUUGAGCCGCAUGGAUCGUCGUCACUGCACCUGCAGGUUGGGAGGGCGGACGACGGAAAUGGGCUGCAGGUCAGUGGACAGACUAACUCGGAAGAGAGAGCUGCCACACGGUUGCGCCUGAUUUCAGCUUUACAGACAGUUGCUGGGGAGUCCACAGAACGGGUAUUCAGAAUGCAUGGAUUGCAGAAUGUGAGUGCUGAGCUUGAUUUGAGCCCUUCUGUCGGUGUGCUCCGUAGCUUAGUGAAUGACAUUAUUCCAUUCCUGCAGAGAGGGCAUGGUAUUGACCCAGCUGGGCCUGUGAACUCCACACGGACGUUGCUGGUUGAGCAAAGAUAG